GGAUGUGAGGGCAAUUUGGCUAUGACAUCUUGAUACUCAUUACCAGAGCUGAUUCUGUUAAUCUGGAUGGCUAAAGGGUGCCCCCUUCCUUCCUCAUUACUCCAUAUGUAUCUCUCUGGGGUUGUAUGCUCCAUCAAAAAGGACAGUGUUUUCUAUAGAGGAGGACCACUCUUUCGUUGGUUAGUGAUACACAAGUAGCUGUGCUUUCCUGCUGGAAGCUCCAAACAGCUCUCAAGAAGGCUCUGUGGGAAUAUGUCUAUUCAGGAUUUAUAUAGGAGCUGU
rnacentral:snRNA from 1 species